AUACCUUUCUUGGCCUUUUGGUUAAGAUCAAGUGUAGUAUCUGUUCUUAUUAGCUUAAUAUCUGAUACAAUAGCUUGCUAUUGGGGCUCUCGGGCGUCUGGUCAUUGACUAGAUCGAUAGUAAAGUAAAUCUCCAAAAUUUGACCCUUU
rnacentral:snRNA from 1 species